GGACUGUGAGGAUUUGUAUUUUGGUCUCUCGUCGUAAUGGCCUCAUUGGCCUUGCCGACCACUCUGAUAUUGCAUCAGUUGUCUGAGUCC